GUGUCAGCAGCCGCGGUAAGACGGAGGGUGCUAGCGUUGUUCGGAAUCACUGGGCGUAAAGGGCGCGUAGGCGGCUUCAGGUGUCGGAUGUGAAAGCCCGGGGCUCAACCCCGGAGGUGCAUCCGAAACUCUGGAGCUGGAGGCCGGAAGAGGAGGGUGGAAUACCCAGUGUAGAGGUGAAAUUCGUAGAUAUUGGGUGGAACACCGGUGGCGAAAGCGGCUCUCUGGUCCGGUCCUGACGCUGAGGCGCGAAAGCGUGGGGAGCAAACAGGAUUAGAAACCCUAGUAGUCC
rnacentral:rRNA from 1 species